AUUGAACGCUGGCGGAAUGCUUUACACAUGCAAGUCGAGCGGCAGCGCGGGGGCAACCCUGGCGGCGAGCGGCGAACGGGUGAGUAACAUAUCGGAACGUACCCCGUCGUGGGGGAUAACACAGCGAAAGCUGUGCUAAUACCGCAUACGACCUGAGGGUGAAAGCGGGGGAUCGCAAGACCUCGCGCGAUGGGAGCGGCCGAUAUCGGAUUAGCUUGUUGGUGAGGUAAAGGCUCACCAAGGCGACGAUCCGUAGCUGGUCUGAGAGGACGACCAGCCACACUGGAACUGAGACACGGUCCAGACUCCUACGGGAGGCAGCAGUGGGGAAUUUUGGACAAUGGGGGCAACCCUGAUCCAGCCAUUCCGCGUGAGUGAAGAAGGCCUU
rnacentral:rRNA from 1 species